GAUGAAGAACGUAGCGAAAUGCGAUAAGUAAUGUGAAUUUCAGAAUUCAGUGAAUCAUCGAAUCUUUGAACGCACCUUGCGCCCUUUGGCCAUUCCGAAGGGCAUGCCUGUUUGAGUAUCAUGAACACCUCAACUCUCAUGGCUCGCCAUGAUGAGCUUGGAUUUGGGGGUCUUGCUGGCCUGUGUUCGGCUCCUCUCAAAUGGAUCAGCUUGCCAGUGUUUGGUGGCAUCACAGGUGUGAUAACUAUCUGCGCUUGUGGUUUUCCAUCAGAUAACCUUCAGUGAUGGAGGUUCGCUGGAGCUCAUAAACGUCUCCCCUAAGCGGGGACAGCCCUUUGAAUGUUUGAUCUCAAAUCAGGUAGGACUACCCGCUGAACUUAAGCAUAUCAAUAAGCGGAGGA
rnacentral:misc_RNA from 1 species